UCAGGACGAACGCUGGCGGCGUGCCUAAUACAUGCAAGUCGAGCGGACAGAUGGGAGCUUGCUCCCUGAUGUUAGCGGCGGACGGGUGAGUAACACGUGGGUAACCUGCCUGUAAGACUGGGAUAACUCCGGAAACCGGGGCUAAUACCGGAUGGUUGUUUGAACCGCAUGGUUCAAACAUAAAAGGUGGCUUCGGCUACCACUUACAGAUGGACCCGCGGCGCAUUAGCUAGUUGGUGAGGUAACGGCUCACCAAGGCAACGAUGCGUAGCCGACCUGAGAGGGUGAUCGGCCACACUGGGACUGAGACACGGCCCAGACUCCUACGGGAGGCAGCAGUAGGGAAUCUUCCGCAAUGGACGAAAGUCUGACGGAGCAACGCCGCGUGAGUGAUGAAGGUUUUCGGAUCGUAAAGCUCUGUUGUUAGGGAAGAACAAGUACCGUUCGAAUAGGGCGGUACCUUGACGGUACCUAACCAGAAAGCCACGGCUAACUACGUGCCAGCAGCCGCGGUAAUACGUAGGUGGCAAGCGUUGUCCGGAAUUAUUGGGCGUAAAGGGCUCGCAGGCGGUUUCUUAAGUCUGAUGUGAAAGCCCCCGGCUCAACCGGGGAGGGUCAUUGGAAACUGGGGAACUUGAGUGCAGAAGAGGAGAGUGGAAUUCCACGUGUAGCGGUGAAAUGCGUAGAGAUGUGGAGGAACACCAGUGGCGAAGGCGACUCUCUGGUCUGUAACUGACGCUGAGGAGCGAAAGCGUGGGGAGCGAACAGGAUUAGAUACCCUGGUAGUCCACGCCGUAAACGAUGAGUGCUAAGUGUUAGGGGGUUUCCGCCC
rnacentral:rRNA from 1 species